CACGUAGGGCGCGAGCGUUGUCCGGAAUUAUUGGGCGUAAAGAGCUCGUAGGCGGCCUGUUGCGUCCGCUGUGAAAGCCCGGGGCUUAACCCCGGGUCGGCAGUGGAUACGGGCAGGCUAGAGGUAGGUAGGGGAGAAUGGAAUUCCCGGUGUAGCGGUGAAAUGCGCAGAUAUCGGGAGGAACACCGGUGGCGUAGGCGGUUCUCUGGGCCUUACCUGACGCUGAGGAGCGAAAGCGUGGGGAGCGAACAGG
rnacentral:rRNA from 1 species